GAUGAAGUACGCAGCGAAAUGCGAUAAGUAAUGUGAAUUGCAGAAUUCCGUGAAUCAUCGAAUCUUUGAACGCACAUUGCGCCCCCUGGUAUUCCGGGGGGCAUGCCUGUCCGAGCGUCAUUGCAACCCUCAAGCGCGGCUUGUGUGUUGGGCUUCGUCCCCCCGUGGACGUGCCCGAAAGGCAGUGGCGGCGUCCCGAAUGGUGCCCGAGCGUAUGGGAACUCUCUUCCGCUCGAACCGGCCCAUUCGGCGCUGGUCGAACCCCAAUUUUUUUUUACCGGUUGACCUCGGAUCAGGUAGGGAUACCCGCUGAACUUAAGCAUAUCAAUAAGCGGAGGA
rnacentral:misc_RNA from 1 species